GAACUGGUGAGUCACGUGGGUGACCUGCCCCGAGACGGGAUACCGUGGAACGACGGCUAAUACCCGAUAUACUCGGUGAUUCGGUUAUCGAGUAAGGCUCCGGUGCUUCGGGAUGGGCCUGCGCUUCACUAGUUGGUGGGGUAAUGGCCACCAAGCGAAGACGGUAGGGGCGUGAGAGCGCGCCCCCACACUGGCACUGAGAUACGGGCCAACUUCUACGGAAGGCACAUCGGGGAUAUUGCACAAUCGGCGAAAGCCGGAUGCACGACGCCGCGUGGGCGAUGAAGGCCUUCGGGUUGUAAAGCCCUUUUAUGGGGGAAGAGACAAGGACGGUACCCCAAGAAUAAGCGUCGGCUAACUACGUGCCAGCAGCCGCGGUAAAACGUAGGACGCAAGCGUUAUCCGGAUUUACUGGGCGUAAAGAGCGUUGAGGCGGUUCCGUAAGUUGGGCGUGAAAGCCCCGGGCUUAACCCGGGGAGGUCGUUCAAUACUGCGGGACUUGAGGGCAGCAGAGGGAGGCGGAAUUCCCGGUGUAGCGGUGAAAUGCGUAGAUAUCGGGAGGAACACCAGUGGCGAAGGCGGCCUCCUGGGCUGUUUCUGACGCUGAAGGCGAAAGCUAGGGGAGCGAACGGGAUUAGAAACCCCGGUAGUCCUAGCCGUAAACGAUGGAUGCUGGGUGUGGGGGGUAUAGAUCCCCUCCGUGCCGAAGCUAACGCGUUAAGCAUCCCGCCUGGGGAUUACGGCCGCAAGGCUUAAACUCAAACGAAUUGACGGGGGCCCGCACAAGCAGCGGAGCGUGUGGUUUAAUUCGAUGCUACACGAAGAACCUUACCUGGGCUUGACAUGUAGGUAGUAGUGAAGCGAAAGCGGAACGACCCUUCGGGGAGUCUACACAGGUGCUGCAUGGCUGUCGUCAGUUCGUACCGUGAGGUGUCGGGUUAAGUCCCGUAACGAACGCAACCCUUGCCCUUAGUUACAUGUGUCUAAGGGGACUGCCCGGGACAACUGGGAGGAAGGUGGGGAUGACGUCAAGUCAGCAUGGCCUUUAUGUCCAGGGCUACACACACGCUACAAUGGCCGGUACAAUGGGUCGCCAAGCCGUGAGGCGGAGCCAAUCCCCCAAAGCCGGUCUAAGUUCGGAUUGUGGGCUGCAACUCGCCCAUAUGAAGCUGGAGUUGCUAGUAACCGCGCGUCAGCAAUAGUGCGGUGAAUACGUUCCCGGGCCUUGUACACACCGCCCGUCACGUCAUGGAAGCUGGCAACACCUGAAGCCAGUGAGCUAACCCGCAAGGGGGGCAGCUGUCGAAGGUGGGGCUGGUGACUGGGACGAAGUCGU
rnacentral:rRNA from 1 species